rnacentral:rRNA from 1 species
CCUGAUUAAACAUAAGAGGUCCAGCCUGCCCAGUGAUAACAUUCAACGGCCGCGGUAUUCUGACCGUGCGAAGGUAGCAUAAUCACUUGUUCUCUAAAUAAGGACUAGUAUCAACGGCAUCACGAGGGCUAUACUGUCUCCCCCCUCCAAUCAGUGAAACUGAUCCCCCCGUGAAGAAGCGGGGAUUUAAUUAUAAGACGAGAAGACCCCAUGGAGCUUUAAACCUAACAUACACCCCCUCGCUAAGAUAUCAGCUAAGCCUAGAGGGCCUGUGCGUUGGUCUUAGGCUGGGGGGACCACGGAGCAAAAUCAAACCUCCAUAACAAAUGGGCUAAAACCCUUAUCCACGAUUUACAAAUCCAAGAAUCAUCAAAAUGAUGUUUAAUGACCCGAUAAUUCGAUCAAUGAACC